GCACGACAGACAACGCAGCAUUUUAUAAACAUAUGAUUACUACUGCGCAACUUAUUAUAUAAUACCUUAAAUUAAAGUAUAUCACCAGCCUUGCAUCUGUAAAAUGAAUAUAUUUACGUUUAUUACUUUUAGAUUUUACCUUUAACUAAAUAUAUUGGUAGUUAGCCAGCUAAAGAUUACAUUUUAUAGAGUUUCAAAUAUUAGACCAAUCGUUUUACGAAUGAGGCUUAUGUGAUUUAUGAAAAAUCAAACUACAGUACUACUGUUUAAACUACUAUUUUUUAAGUGCUUUUUCUUUAUCAAGGUGUUUCAGCUCACAUUAUCUAAAGAAAAAAUAAAGUUUUAAUUUCCAGAGAAAACAGCAAGGUCGUCAUUGUUAUCAUUUCAUUGUAUAUGUUAUAUAAGGAAUAGUUUGUUGACUGAACAUACAUGCAGUGAGCGAAAAAUAGUUUAACCGAACUUGUGCGAAGGAUUUUGAAACCAAACGGUUCCGCCUAUCCACGCGGGACCAACUCCGUAAGGCGUAAUUGUUCAUGUAAACACCAGUGGGAAUGGUCUAAUCUUCAUACGAUUCCAACUUUGUGAAAUAAUGGGGGUUGCAAAUUUAAGAGGCAGUCCGUGUAAAAACCGAGGCACUCGAAUUUCUUAAGAUUACAGAAUUCCUUCAUACUUUCUGUGUGGAAGAAGUCAUUCAUAAAAUGAACAAAAAACGUUGACUUUGGAAUUGUAGUCAGUUUUAAUAUUUUUUUCGCAAUUAUUUUCGGACGCGUUCGAAAACAAGUUGAUUAAAACGUUAAUCAUGCACGCAAGUGAUAUUUCAGCUUUUUUAUAUCUCACAGUUCAUCUCGCGCUUUUAUUCUAUCUUCUUGAAACUUAUAUAUUUUAUUAUUUCCUGCCUAGGCAUAAACCUAAACUAAAAAUUAUCCUGAUCACUUGAAGCAAACAAAAUAUUGUGAUUUUUUAAAAACGUCUUGCAGACAGCGGAUUAAAUAUUCGUGUUAGUAUGCCGGCGGUAAAUUUUUUUCUCAAAUUAUGACAUUAUGACAGUAUUAUGACACAUCUACUAGAAUAAAGAAUAAAAGCUUUGGGCAGUGUGUUUUUCGCCUGACAAGCGCGUCAUGAAUAUAGUCAAUUUUCGCUAAUUCGACUAAUUCUAAGCUA